GUCUUUGUUGAGAAACCGGAUGUCAGCACACAGCGACAUAUUGCUUGGACAGCUCGGUACAAUUUUUUUUCUUUUACUUCGUGUUAUCUUAAAAGGGGAAAAUACGCAAUUCACCAAUUAAAUUUCAAACCACUACAGCACGGCGUCUUAAUUCCGUCCACGUCGGAUAACGAUGAGAUCCAUCAAGCCACACUAAGCCUCAACUAGGUCAACGAGCUAAUGCUAACUAGCCCGAGCUCGUUAAAAUACCCAAAAACGCUUACCUUUCACAAAAAGGACUUCAGCUCUAUCGUGUUUUCGACAGAUAUAGAGAAAAUAAUGAGAUGAAAGAGGAUGUCUAGUGGAUAGUGGUUUACGUAAGAUCAAAAGACACGGUUUUUCCGCUAGAAAAAAGGGCUAUAAAAGACUGCGGCCUAGCAGUAGUGGCUCCCGGCUGCUGCGAAGAAAGACUGCUGACUGGAUGCGUGCGUCACGAGGGAUCCGCUUUUUGACUGGGGCUGUUUGAGACGUUGUCGCCCUCCUCCGGUGACGUCAGGCACUGGAACGCGGAAGACGUUUCGCAAUCAACUGUGUUUCUGGUACAGCCGAAGUGUUCUGACAGGGCGGGGCCUUUGUUGUUGUUUUGCCCUGCAUAACUUUCACAACCUUGUCUUUUCUCUGGUGGGAGCAGGAAUAACAUUAGAAUACUGACUCAAACAAACCUUGUGAGCUAUUACUUUGUUGCGGCUUGAAAGAGUCAUCUAGUUCGGCUUCCCUUAAUUACUCUUUAAAGGCCUACUGAAACCCACUACUACCCACCAGGCAGUCUGAUAGUUUAUAUAUCAAUGAUGAAAUAUUAACAUAGCAACACAUGAUAAUACGGCCUUUUUAGUUUACCAAAUUACAAUUUUAAAUUUCCCGGGAGUUUCGUCUUGGAAACGUCGUGUAAUGAUGACGUGUACGCAAGACGUCAAAGUUUUUUAGGAAGUAUGAGCGCUGCGCACACACACAGCUAAAAGUUGUCUUCUUUAACGGCAUAAUUACACAGUAUUUUGGACAUCCGUGUUGCUGAAUCUUUUGCAAUUUGUUCAAUUAAUAUUGGAGAAGUCACAGUAGAAAGAUGGAGUUGGAAUACCUUAGCCUUUAGCCACACAAACACACGGUGAUUCCUUGUUUAAAAUUCCUGGAGGUGAAACUUUCCUAUGGAUCAGAGCGCGGUCAAGCCAACAUGGACCCUUACCAAAUGUCAACCAGCAGGUUUCGAUGCCGUCGACUCCCCUGAGACACUGCGCGUCAAGACACCCGUGGAGACACCCUUCUGACUAUCAGGUGUAACAGAAAGUGCAUCUGUAUCAUUCUUCAAAAGCGCACUAAAAGAACACCUCCACACUUCCCCGGAUUGUAAAUAAUCAAAUGUAUAUACUUGUUCUUAUGGUUUCUGAACUCACUAUUCUCACUGCUGGCUGUAAGUAUCCUACCAAGUCAGACUGUCUACAAUGUCCAUUUCUCUGACGAUGCAAUUGUUGAUGACUGAAGUGCUGAAAUCAACCCAACCUAACCCCCCCCUCCACAUCCCACCUCCCGGAUUGAAAGUAAUGUAGAUAAUUCAAUGUAUAUACUCUGAUGAUUAACUUGUGUGAUGACUGUAUUAUGCUGAUAGUAUAUAUUUGUACCAUGAAUUGAUUAACGUGGACCCCGACUUAAACAAGUUGAAAAACUUAUUCGGAUGUUACCCGAAAGAGUGAUAUAAUCAUUUGUGGUCAAUUGUACGGAAUAUGUACUGUA